AUUGAACGCUGGCGGCAUGCCUUACACAUGCAAGUCGAACGGUAACGGGCCUUCGGGCGCCGACGAGUGGCGAACGGGUGAGUAAUGCAUCGGAACGUACCUUUCAGUGGGAACAGACGUAGCGAAAGUUACGCUAAUACCGCAUAUUCUGUGAGCAGGAAAGCAGGGGAUCGCAAGACCUUGCGCUGAUUGAGCGGCCGAUGUCAGAUUAGCUAGUUGGUGAGGUAAAGGCUCACCAAGGCGACGAUGUGUAGCGGGUCUGAGAGGAUGAUCCGCAACACUGGAACUGAGACACGGUCCAGACUCCUACGGGAGGCAACAGUUGGGAAUUUUGGACAAUGGGGGCAACCCUGAUCCAACCAUGCCGCGUGAGUGAAGAAGGCCUUCGGGUUGUAAAGCUCUUUCGGCCGGGAAGAAAUCGCACGGGCUAAUACCCUGUGUGGAUGACGGUACCGGAAUAAGAAGCACCGGCUAACUACGUGCCAGCCGCCGCGGUAAUAC
rnacentral:rRNA from 1 species